rnacentral:lncRNA from 1 species
CCAAUUCAAAAAACCCCAUUAACCUAGUUAGAUAAAUCAAACCAAAAUAAGUUCAUACAUAUCUAUUACUCCACUAACAAUUCGAAUACUUGAAACUUCAUAAGACCCAUUUCAUUCCAGCUUCAAUUCGAGCACAUACACUAGUUAGUUUUGAACAAGUACCUGGAAAAUGGAGAUUCAAAGAAUAAGAAAAGAUCAGCAGUGGCAUAUAGCAAGCAGCAACACUUUGAAAUAACCAACAGCAAUAAAUACACAGCCCAGAAAAUUGAAGUGUAGCCCAGAAAGAUAUUUGAAAACCAGACGAAGGGAA